GAUCCUGGCUCAGAUUGAACGCUGGCGGCAUGCUUUACACAUGCAAGUCGAACGGCAGCAUAGAGAGCUUGCUCUCUGAUGGCGAGUGGCGAACGGGUGAGUAAUACAUCGGAACGUGUCCGUUUGCGGGGGGACAACCACCCGAAAGGGUGGCUAAUACCGCAUAAGACCUGAGGGUGAAAGCCGGGGACCGCAAGGCCUGGCGCGAACGGAGCGGCCGAUGACUGAUUAGCUGGUUGGG
rnacentral:rRNA from 1 species